GCAUUCCAUCCUCAGACCAAUGGUUAAUCUGAGAGGGUAAUUCAGAUACUGGAGGAUAUGUUUUUGACUGUGUACAUAAUUCUGUAAUCCACAGGCUUAAGCGGAUCGGUGCGGCAGAGACUUAGCACUGACCACACAUCCAUCAACUAUUUAAACUUAAUUAUUUAUGGUUUAUUUAUGAUUUUGGUUUACAUUGGAGAGUUUGUAAA